rnacentral:rRNA from 1 species
CCUACGGGAGGCAGCAGUGGGGAAUAUUGGGCAAUGGAGGAAACUCUGACCCAGCGACGCCGCGUGAGGGAUGAAGGCCUUCGGGUUGUAAACCUCUUUCAGUAGGGAAGAAGCGAAAGUGACGGUACCUACAGAAGAAGCACCGGCUAACUAUGUGCCAGCAGCCGCGGUAAUACAUAGGGUGCAAGCGUUGUCCGGAAUUAUUGGGCGUAAAGAGCUCGUAGGUGGUUCGAUACGUCGGAUGUGAAAAUCAGGGGCUCAACCCCUGACCUGCAUCCGAUACGGUCGAGCUAGAGUUUGGUAGGGGAGACUGGAAUUCCUGGUGUAGCGGUGGAAUGCGCAGAUAUCAGGAGGAACACCGAUGGCGAAGGCAGGUCUCUGGGCCAAUACUGACACUGAGGAGCGAAAGCGUGGGGAGCGAACAGGAUUAGAUACUCUGGUAGUCCACGCCGUAAACGGUGGGCGCUAGUUGUGCGAACCUUCCACGGUUUGUGCGACGCAGCUAACGCAUUAAGCGCCCCGCCUGGGGAGUACGAUCGCAAGNUUAAAACUCAAAGGAAUUGACGG